UACAGAGGGUGCGAGCGUUGUUCGGAAUUACUGGGCGUAAAGCGCGCGCAGGCGGCUUUUUAAGUCCGACGGUGAAAUGCCGGGGCUCAACCCCGUGCCCGCCGCGGAUACUGGGAGCUGGAGACAUGUAGAGGCAAGCGGAAUCCCGGGUGUAGCGGUGGAAUGCGUAGAGAUCCGGAAGAACACCGGAGGCGAAGGCGGCUUGCUGGGCAUGGUCUGACGCUGAGGCGCGAAAGCGUGGGGAGCGAACAGG
rnacentral:rRNA from 1 species